AGAGCUCAGUGGUCGGAGCUCGUGCUUUGCAUGCAGAAGGUUGUAGGUUCAAUCCCUGGCAUCUCUA